UUCUAGACAAUUUCAGAUCUAUCCCAGAUCGCUUAGACUAUACCACCCCAAAAAUGGUAUUUGGUAAAAGAUUCCAUGUGUCCAUCCCUUCAAGAUCCUCCUGGGAAGAAGAGGGACCCCUGGAAGACGAUGCGGUACACUUCUAUACUGACGGUUCAAAGACCGAUCACGGAGUUGGAAGUGGUAUCUUUUCAGAACAACUGAAUCUCAGUCUAUCCUAUAGACUUCCCAAUCAAUGUAGUGUAUUCCAGGCAGAAGUAAUGGCGAUUAAAGAAGGACUAUCCUGGCUCAAAGAAAAAGUUAUAUCUUGUAAGGAUAUACGAAUCUUCUCGGACUGCCAAGCCGCUCUUAAAUCUCUCGCGUCUGUCUCCACAAACUCUCGAACAGUCCACGAUUGUCAAUCAUCUCUGAAGGAGAUGACGGAACAGUUUAACAUUCACCUCAUUUGGGUGCCGGGCCACAGAGACAUUCCGGGAAAUUGCAAAGCCGAUGAGCUCGCCAAAAACGGAACACUUCUGCCUUAUGUUAGACAAAAACAUAACAUAGGAACACCACUUGCUACAUGCAAAUAUCUUCUCAAGCAAUAUGCUUUAGAAACAACAAAUACUAGAUGGUCACAAAGUACCACCUGCCUGGCAACCAAGCAAAUAUGGCCAAGUAUUGACUUAAAACUGUCAAAAGGCUUGAUAUUACUAAGCAGACAAAGUAUAAGCUCUACAAUUGGAGUAAUAACGGGACACUGCCUCAUAGGUAGACAUGCUCUAAGGCUAGGGGUCUACACAAAUGACUUCUGUAGAAGCUGCAUGGACGAGGAGGAAGAGGAAACAGUCCAACACCUUCUAUGUACAUGUCCAGCACUCUCCAUUAGAAGGAAUUACUUUCUCGGUAAUCCCUUCUUCGAUAAUACCAGUGAACUGGCAACGAUUGACACAAAACGUUUCUCUAACUUUAUUAAAAGUACAAAAUGGUUUGUUUAAAUUCAUUACUCUCCCAUGAGUAACCUCAUUAGUGGUAUUACAAUGGACCCUUGAGGUCUACGUGUGUAAAUGAUAUCUGGACAGCCACUCCAACCUAACCUAACCUAAUCUAGCUGCUAUACGAAUAUCAGUUUGAUUGACUGUACAUUUAUUAUUUAAAUUUUGUUAUUGUCUGUAUUUAAGUGAACCGCAGUGUAAAUAUAAAUGAGCAUUUGGCGAUUUCGCAAAGCGAUAACAGUUCUAAAUUCACAACACAUGUACCUAUGUGAAAAUAAUUUUUGUUUACAAGAGUUCCGCUAGGUAUGCAAAAGACGAAUAAAUCAUACAUACAUAAGUAAAUGAUAGAAAUAAAAUUAAUUUGUGCCAGAGAGACAACAAUAUUUUGUUUCACAUAAACAAAACCAACCUCAAUAGGUACAUAGAAUGGAAUUCAAAUAAAUCGAUCAUAUUUCAGUUUUGUUUCAUUCAGUUUCCUAUAACAUUAUUUUCGAUUGUGUACUUAACAAAAUUGCGCGUCGUCGUUGUCAGAAUCAACACCAUCAACAUGUUUAGUCAAUGCUGCAGGAUCAUCACAUAAUUCAAUGGAAACAAUUGGUAAACUUACCAAUGCCAAAGCAGUAUUGUCAACUAGCCAGUUAUUUGAAAAAAUGCAUCAGCAUUUUCGC